GAGUUUGAUUAUGGCUCAGAACGAACGCUGACGGCGGGCUUAACACAUGCAAGUCGAACGAGAAAGUUCCUUCGGGAAUGAGUAAAGUGGCGUACGGGUGAGUAACACGUGGGUAACCUGCCCUUGGGUCCGGGAUAACGAGCCGAAAGGAGCGCUAAUACCGGAUAAGACCACGGCGACUUCAGUCGCUGAGGGAAAAGGAGGCCUCUGAUUCAAGCUUCCACCUGGGGAUGGGCCCGCGGACCAUUAGCUAGAUGGCAGGGUAAUGGCCUACCAUGGCGACGAUGGUUAGCUGGUCUGAGAGGAUGGCCAGCCACACUGGUACUGGAACACGGACCAGACUCCUACGGGAGGCAGCAGUGAGGAAUAUUGGGCAAUGGGCGAAAGCCUGACCCAGCCACGCCGUGUGAGUGAAGAAGGCCUUCGGGUCGUAAAGCUCUGUCAGGAGGAAAGAAAUCUUUUCGGAUAAUACCCGGGAAGGAUGACGGUACCUCCUGAGGAAGCACCGGCUAACUCCGUGCCAGCAGCCGCGGUAAUACGGAGGGUGCAAGCGUUGUUCGGAAUCAUUGGG
rnacentral:rRNA from 1 species